rfam:Salmo salar isolate Sally breed double haploid chromosome ssa29, whole genome shotgun sequence.
UGCAAACAUGACUACAGUAAGUCACUUUGGAUUAAAGUGUCUGCUAAAUGGCAUAUA